CGAAAAGCGUUGAUAGGAACUAGUAGGGAGCCUCUCUUUCUAAGAGAGCCGAUGGUUGGUGCGAAUCGGUGAAAGAUGCUGUCUGAAUCCAUCCUUGAGCGAAAUGCUGAAGCGAGUAGGCAUUUACGGGAUAACCGUUAUGUUUGAAAGUGGAAAACGAGUCUUUGAUUUGUUUUCAAUCAGGGUGGCAACGCGAGAGCUCUCGUCCCUUUA
rnacentral:ncRNA from 2 species